GUCGAACGGUGAACAGGAAGCAGCUUGGUGCUUCGCUGACGAGUGGCGGACGGGUGAGUAAUGUCUGGGAAACUGCCUGAUGGAGGGGGAUAACUACUGGAAACGGUAGCUAAUACCGCAUAACGUCGCAAGACCAAAGAGGGGGACCUUAGGGCCUCUUGCCAUCGGAUGUGCCCAGAUGGGAUUAGCUAGUAGGUGGGGUAACGGCUCACCUAGGCGACGAUCCCUAGCUGGUCUGAGAGGAUGACCAGCCACACUGGAACUGAGACACGGUCCAGACUCCUACGGGAGGCAGCAGUGGGGAAUAUUGCACAAUGGGCGCAAGCCUGAUGCAGCCAUGCCGCGUGUAUGAAGAAGGCCUUCGGGUUGUAAAGUACUUUCAGCGGGGAGGAAGGGAGUAAAGUUAAUACCUUUGCUCAUUGACGUUACCCGCAGAAGAAGCACCGGCUAACUCCGUGCCAGCAGCCGCGGUAAUACGGAGGGUGCAAGCGUUAAUCGGAAUUACUGGGCGUAAAGCGCACGCAGGCGGUUUGUUAAGUCAGAUGUGAAAUCCCCGGGCUCAACCUGGGAACUGCAUCUGAUACUGGCAAGCUUGAGUCUCGUAGAGGGGGGUAGAAUUCCAGGUGUAGCGGUGAAAUGCGUAGAGAUCUGGAGGAAUACCGGUGGCGAAGGCGGCCCCCUGGACGAAGACUGACGCUCAGGUGCGAAAGCGUGGGGAGCAAACAGGAUUAGA
rnacentral:rRNA from 1 species